rnacentral:lncRNA from 1 species
UGGAAGCUCCGGCCGCGGAGUGAUGGUGGCCUCAGCGAAGAUGGGCCGGGCAGGGACCAUGGCAGUGGCAGCAGAGCUUCGAGAGCUGUGCCCAGGAGUGAACAACCAGCCCUACCUCUGUGAGAGUGUUCACUGCUGCGGGGAGACUGGCUGCUGCACCUACUACUAUGAGCUCUGGUGGUUCUGGCUGCUCUGGACUGUCCUCAUCCUCUUUAGCUGCUGUUGGGCCUUCCGCCACCGACGAGCUAAACUCAGGCUGCAACAACAGCAGCGGCAGCGUGAAAUCAACUUGUUGGCUUAUCAUGGGGCAUGCCAUGGGGCUGGUCCUUUCCCUACCGGUUCACUGCUUGACCUUCGCCUCCUCAGCACCUUCAAGCCCCCAGCCUACGAGGAUGUGGUUCACCGCCCAGGCACCACCCCCCGCCCCCCGCCUCCGCGCCUUAUACUGUCGCCCCAGGCCGCCCCUUGACUGCUUCCAGUGAACAAACCUGCUGUUCCUCCUCAUCCAGCUGCCCUGCCCAUUUUGAAGGAACAAAUGUGGAAGGUGUUUCCU